AAUCAAGACCGGUCAAAACCACCGCUGAUCGUCUUAUUUUCCCGUCAUUAAUGUGAUUAGAAAGAACAAAUCAUUUAAAUUCAUUUUCAUUUUUAUCCCCCGAUUAUGGCCGCAACUUUCCCGGUGUUGGUGAUGAUUGUUCAGAGAUAUUUCUGGUCUAGACUCGAUCUGGGUCCCUAAAUGUCUCGGUGGUCUUGGAGCACUCUGGUCUCGGGUAUGUCCUGGUCUCGUUGGGCGUGUUCUUGACCACGACGGUAACGGAGGGUAUGGCGGUAGAAUCAUGUUCAGAGGUGAAUAUUCAUGUUUAUGAAAUUUUUGCUCAAAUAAAAAAAUAAAAGAAUAACCAACACUUUUUUGUACGAUGUAAUCCGUUCAACGUCUCAUCAGCAGUUUAUAAACGUCUUUAAGAGUGGCGGGGGGGAACCACGCCAUCGAGAGGUCAUUUGAUCUUGAAGUGGACGUUCAUUUUUAAAAAGUCUGUUCAGUCGAUGGAGAAUCUGGUGCUAAAACAUCAACUUUCACUUUGCAAUAUCUCAUGCGUGAACUUUUCGUAAAUCAGGAGGGGGCGUAGGCAGCAAUAACAUUUUGGCGUCUGGACGGUGAGGGCAGCGGCGCCUCCCGGGAGCCAAACAUUUGUGAGAAACGUCAUCAAGUUGUUAACGUAAACGCUGCGGUAGUUCAAACACAGCGUGACCAGUUUUCUAAAGACUCUUGUUUUGGAUUAAUUACGUCUGAUUGACCUGAAGUUGGCGGCCGUUCAGUCCUCGCCACUGAAAAACGUUUUUGGUCUUCCUGCUCUGCUGCUGCUACACUAAGGUCAGACAAA